rnacentral:rRNA from 1 species
GACAGAGGAGGCAAGCGUUGUUCGGAAUCAUUGGGCUUAAAGGGCGCGCAGGCGGCUCGGCACGUCCGUUGUGAAAUCGCCCGGCUCAACUGGGCGGGGUCAGCGGAUACGGUCGAGCUUGAGCAAGCUAGGGGGCAAUGGAAUUCCCGGUGUAGUGGUGGAAUGCGUAGAGAUGCGGAGGAACACCGAUGGCGAAGGCAGCCCCCCUGGGCCAAUACUGACGCUCAGGCACGAAAGCGUGGGGAGCAAACAGG